AGCGAACGCUGGCGGCAGGCUUAACACAUGCAAGUCGAGCGGGCACUUUCGGGUGUCAGCGGCGGACGGGUGCGUAACGCGUGGGAACGUGCCCUCUGGUUCGGAAUAACUCAGGGAAACUUGAGCUAAUACCGGAUACGCCCUUUUGGGGAAAGGCUUGCUGCCGGAGGAUCGGCCCGCGUCUGAUUAGCUAGUUGGUGAGGUAACGGCUCACCAAGGCGACGAUCAGUAGCUGGUCUGAGAGGAUGAUCAGCCACACUGGGACUGAGACACGGCCCAGAUUCCUACGGGAGGCAGCAGUGGGGAAUAUUGGACAAUGGGCGCAAGCCUGAUCCAGCCAUGCCGCGUGAGUGAUGAAGGCCUUAGGGUUGUAAAGCUCUUUUAUCCGGGACGAUAAUGACGGUACCGGAGGAAUAAGCCCCGGCUAACUUCGUG
rnacentral:rRNA from 1 species